UACGUAGGUGGCAAGCGUUGUCCGGAUUUACUGGGUGUAAAGGGUGCGUAGGCGGGGCAGCAAGUUGGAUGUGAAAUCCUCGGGCUCAACUCGAGAACUGCAUUCAAAACUGUUGCUCUUGAGUGCAGUAGAGGCAAGCGGAAUUCCCGGUGUAGCGGUGAAAUGCGCAGAGAUCGGGAGGAACACCAGUGGCGAAGGCGGCUUGCUGGGCUGUUACUGACGCUGAGGCACGAAAGCAUGGGUAG
rnacentral:rRNA from 1 species